rnacentral:guide_RNA from 1 species
AUAUUAUAAACAAACAUGGUAUAAUUGGUGGUGUUAGAAAGUUGAUGAAAUUGA